AUUCGUCCAAGUGAAGCAGAGGACAGUGGCGGACGGGUGAGUAACGCGUGAGUAACCUGCCUUCAAGAGGGGGACAACAGUUGGAAACGACUGCUAAUACCGCAUAAGCCCACGGGUCGGCAUGGAGAUGAUGCCAAAGGGAAACCGCUUGCAGAUGGACUCGCGUCUGAUUAGGUAGUUGGUGAGGUAACGGCCCACCAAGGCGACGAUGCAUAGCCGGCCUGAGAGGGCGACCGGCCACAUUGGGACUGAGAUACGGCCCAGACUCC
rnacentral:rRNA from 1 species